rnacentral:rRNA from 1 species
CCUACGGGUGGCAGCAGUGAGGAAUAUUGGUCAAUGGGCGCGAGCCUGAACCAGCCAAGUAGCGUGAAGGAUGACUGCCCUACGGGUUGUAAACUUCUUCUAUAAAGGAAUAAAGUGAGGCACGUGUGCCUUUUUGUCUGUAUUUUAUGAAUAAGGAUCGGCUAACUACGCGCCAGCAGCCGCGGUAAUACGGAGGAUCCGAGCGUUAUCCGGAUUUCUUGGGUUUAAAGGGAGCGUAGAUGGGGUGUUAAGUCAGUUGUGAAAGUUUGCGGCUCAACCGUAAAAUUGCAAUUGAUACUGGCAGCCUUGAGUACAGUUGAGGUAAGCGGAAUUCGUGGUGUAGCGGUGAAAUGCUUAGAUAUCACGAAGAACACCGAUUGCGAAGGCAGCCUACUAAACUGCCACUGACAUUGAUGCUCGAAAGUGUGGGUAGCAAACAGGAUUAGAUACCCCUGUAGUC